AAGUGCUUCGGUCAGGCAGUAUCUUUGAAAAUAAUUUGGCCAAUGAAAGCCCUGGCAUUGGAUGAAAGUGCUAGCUGCUGGGAAUGCUACCCCUCCUUUUGGUUCUCUUUCAAGUCCUUCAGGUUCAAACAAUACAGAAGUGUAUAAAGUAAGAAUUGAAAGUCUCUUCGCUGCUCUAAUCUCACUCCUCAGAGGUGAUCACUGAUUAUCAUCCCAGAGCCCUCCCUGAAGCCCACACACAGCUUCUUCAGGAAAUGCUGACAGCAUGGUAUACACAUGGCUUCCAUGUUUGUCAUGGUUCCAAAGUUUGCUUUUGAAAGAGUUUAAUUUCUUUCUUUCUUUCUUUCUUUCUUUCCUUUAUUGGCUAA
rnacentral:lncRNA from 1 species